GCCUGAGUAGCUCAGUGGUUUUAGUGCGGGGUCAAUAACCCCUAGUCGGGGGUUCAAUUCUCACCUAAUGCA
rfam:Ciona savignyi cont_64464, whole genome shotgun sequence.